rnacentral:rRNA from 1 species
UAGGGAAUAUUGCUUAAUGGGCGAAAGCCUGAAGCAGCAACGCCGCGUGUGUGAAGAAGGCCUUCGGGUUGUAAAACACUUCUUGAGGGAAUGAGGAAGGACAGUACCCUCAGAAUAAGCCUCGGCUAACUACGUGCCAGCAGCCGCGGUAAAACGUAGGAGGCGAGCGUUAUCCGGAUUUACUGGGCGUAAAGCGCGUGCAGGCGGCACGGCAAGUUGGAUGUGAAAGCUCCCGGCUUAACUGGGAGAGGUCGUUCAAAACUGCCGAGCUAGAGUGCGGGAGAGGGAGGUGGAAGUCCGGGUGUAGUGGUGAAAUGCGUAGAUAUCAGGAGGAACACCAGUGGCGAAAGCGGCCUCCUGGUCCGCAACUGACGCUCAGACGCGAAAGCUAGGGUAGCAAACGG